UCUAUUUCUCUGUUCUUUUCUUGGUCUGU
rnacentral:piRNA from 1 species